GCAGUUGUGGCCUAAAGGUUAGGGAGUUGGACUUGUAAUCUGAAGGUUGUGGGUUUGAGUCUCAGGUCCAGCA